rnacentral:tRNA from 1 species
GAUGGCUGAAUAACUAGGCGAUAAAUUGUAAAUUUAUUUAUGACUUUUUGUCUCA